CACUUGUCUUGAGAAAUGCCGCGUCAUUCAGGUUAGAGGAACACCUGUAUAAAGAUUCACAAAAUAUCUGAAGAUGAAGUAAUGAAGGGGAUUGAGUGUCGGCCCCGGGAACAAUCUGUGUUCUAAUGUCACGCUCCCGUGCUCAAGAGCGGUUGUGUUAUCUAUCUUCACUCACUAUCACCCCAUACCCCACGGAGGACGGCUCGCGACCGACUCCCGCCAGCUGACGAACAGAACAAGCACUCACCAGGAAGUGAGCCGGACCGGACGCGAUGAAAGAACUGACCACUCUACCUGUACUCAUAUGUUUGUUUAUAUCACCUGUAUUACCUGCUGAAUCACAACAACCAGUCAGAGUCGUCCGCAUAUCCGUCCAGUCUACACUCAAGGAGAAACAACGUUCCUGUCACCUUGCAGAUGACCUUUACCUUCAAAUUCAAGGUGGCAACAUAUCGGUAAAUCUACAUCUGCGACAUGAGCCGCAUCAAGACACCAUUAUUCCAAUUCCUCUACUGGAGAGAAAAGCAAAUGGACAACUCGUCUCCACGUUUUGGCAACUGAUAACAACAAAAUGGAAAUCUUACGAAGAUGUCCAUCGAACCAGUUCCUUUGACGUCAGAUGCUCCAUGAUAGGAUCCAGACCAUUGUAUCGUAUAUCAGGGUUUCUAAUGGAUCGCGGCGAGCUUUAUAGUCUGAACCCGGCGUCAAGUGGUGCAUCCUACCGACACCUUCAUCAUCUAGUUCCGUUCGUUGGAGGCUCCAACACUAAAAAAAUAGAAUACAAUCAACAUCAUAGCCAUUCAUUACGGCACAGACGGCAAACAACCCCCGAGUACAAGAUUGACGUUUUAGUCAUAGUAGAUUAUCAGCUUUUUCAGCAUUGGCGCACGGUUGUAAAUCGAACAGCAACAAUAGAUCAGACGAAAGCAGCUAUAAAGACUUAUAUAGGGCUAGUUUUUAGAGGGGUGAACGUCCGCUUUGCCACAAUCUCAGCCUACAACAUAAAUGUCAGUAUUGUAGAUAUAAUCAUUUCUGAGACUGCAACAUCACCAACAGCCGAACUCACAAGUCAGUUUGCAAUGAGAAAUAAUGUAAAUGCCAACAGUACAUUGUACGCUUUGCGAAACUACGUGGCCUCGAAUCCACUUCCAGAGAAUGAUCACGUGAUGUUAUUUACCGGGUAUGACAUUCUGGGAACCGACAAUGGCGUCUUAUUCAAAUACACCAAAGGUCAGGCAUUUGUUGGGACGUUGUGUGAAGGUGGUCGCAGCGUCUCCGUCGUCGAGGACCAUGCAGGAUUCCAAAGUGUCCACUCGGCUACCCACGAGUUGGCACACAGUAUGAACGCCACCCAUGACGGGGACGACGAUCCCAGCUGUAGUUCCCGUGACCGCUACCUGAUGGCCGGGCAACCAGUCGAGCCUACAGAACUGACCAAAGCGAACCCAUGGCGCUUCUCAAGCUGCUCCAUGCAACAAAUGGCAAACUUCUUUGAAAACAAAUUGAAACAGGACCAUCAUUCAGCACCGUCAGCGACAUCUGUACCUCCAUGUUCUGCUACAAGAGUACUGGGAAUGAGAACCAGAUACGAUGUAAUGAACACCACGGUGCUGAUGGAACUUCCUGCGGCAACAAAAAGUGGUGCGAACAAGGGCGAUGUGUUGAAUCUGAAGAUGCGCCAGUUAAAGUUGAUGAUUGCGUGUUUGGUGACGAAACCGGCGUUACCGUGAACGGCAAACCGUGCAGAGCGGCGGUGGCGGAGACACCAUACGCCUGUUAUAGAAGUGACAUUCAGCAGCGUUGUUGUGGAUCCUGUGGGACAAUUCAGUCAACUUCACCAGGUUGCAAGUACGGAGACAAACUCCCCGGCUGCGUCACACGAGACUGUCACUCCAUCACCCCCAACGGUAACAUCUAUGACAACGACUGCUGUGGGACGUGCAACUUCAGCGUCAAUGCAUGGCAAUGUAGAG
rnacentral:misc_RNA from 1 species